AUACGUAGGUCCCGAGCGUUGUCCGGAUUUACUGGGUAUAAAGGGUGCGUAGGCGGUUUUGUGCGUCAGAGGUGAAAGGUCAGUGCUUAACAUUGAUACUGCCUUUGAAACGGCGGAACUUGAGUAUGAGAGAGGUUUGUAGAAUUCCUGGUGUAGCGGUGAAAUGCGUAGAUAUCAGGAGGAAUACCGGUGGCGAAGGCGGCAAACUGGCUCAUAACUGACGCUGAGGCACGAAAGCGUGGGGAUC
rnacentral:rRNA from 1 species